rnacentral:rRNA from 1 species
UACGGAGGGUGCAAGCGUUAUCCGGAUUCACUGGGGUUAAAGGGUGCGUAGGCGGGCAUGUAAGUCAGUGGUGAAAUCUCAAAGCUUAACUUUGAAACUGCCAUUGAUACUAUGUGUCUUGAAUUUCCUGGAGGUUAGCGGAAUAUGUCAUGUAGCGGUGAAAUGCUUAGAUAUGACAUAGAACACCGAUUGCGAAGGCAGCUGACUAUAGGUAGAUUGACGCUGAUGCACGAAAGCGUGGGGAUCAAACAGG